UACGAAGGGAGCUAGCGUUGCUCGGAAUUACUGGGCGUAAAGGGAGCGUAGGCGGACAGUUUAGUCAGAGGUGAAAGCCCAGGGCUCAACCCUGGAAUUGCCUUUGAUACUGAUUGUCUUGAGUACGGGAGAGGUGUGUGGAACUCCGAGUGUAGAGGUGAAAUUCGUAGAUAUUCGGAAGAACACCAGUGGCGAAGGCGACACACUGGCCCGUUACUGACGCUGAGGCUCGAAAGCGUGGGGAGCAAACAGG
rnacentral:rRNA from 1 species